rnacentral:rRNA from 1 species
UACGUAGGAUCCAAGCGUUGUCCGGAUUUACUGGGUGUAAAGGGUGCGCAGGCGGACUUAUAAGUCAGUGGUGAAAUCUCACAGCUUAACUGUGAAACUGCCUUUGAUACUGUAAGUCUUGGAUCCGGGAGAGAAUUGUGGAAUUCCGAGUGUAGCAGUGAAAUGUGUAGAUAUUCGGAAGAACACCAGUGGCGAAGGCAGCAAUUUGGCCCGGUAUCGACGCUCAGGCACGAAAGCAUGGGGAUCAAACAGG